GGAGGCAGCAGUGGGGAAUAUUGGACAAUGGGCGAAAGCCUGAAUCCCAGCCAUGCCGCGUGUGUGAAGAAGGUUCUUCGGAUUGUAAAGCACUUUAAGUUGGGAGGAAAGGGCAUUUACCUAAUACGGUGAUUGUUCUUGACGUUACCGACAGAAUAAGCACCGGCUAACUCUGUGCCAGCAGCCGCGGUAAUACAGAGGGUGCCAAGCGUUAAUCGGAAAUUACUGGGCGUAAAGCGCGCGUAGGUGGUUUGUUAAGUUGAAUGUGAAAUCCCCGGGCUCAACCUGGGAACUGCAUCCAAAACUGGCAAGCUAGAGUAUGGUAGAGGGUAGUGGAA
rnacentral:rRNA from 1 species